CCAGGUACCGACCAGUACGAGAAGUAGUGAGGUUCAGCCCAAGGAUGUGUCCCCUCUAGUCCACCCCUAUUUGGCCAGUCUCGCACAGGACAAAGGGGAUGACUCGGACGCCCAGUCAGUGACGGCCCUGGCCUGUAAGAGUCUGAACCUGUCACAGGCAUUACACGAAAAGUGCUUACACUUAGACUUGUCUGCCUCCAGUGAUGAUGAUGAAACAAUUCGCCAUGCCCAGAAUGCAAGACUGGCACUACUCAACCCUGAUACCAUUCGUAAGUAUCAGUAUACAUACAGUAUAUA